AUUCCGGUUGAUCCUGCCGGAGGGCAUUGCUAUCGGAGUUCGACUUAGCCAUGCUAGUCGCGCGGGUUUUAGACCCGCGGCAAAUAGCUCAGUAACACGUGGCCAAACUGCCCUACAGAUCGGAAUAACCUCGGGAAACUGAGGCUAAUGCCGAAUAGGACUUUCAAGUUGGAGUGCCGAGAGUUCGAAACGCUACGGCGCUGUGGGAUGUGGCUGCGGCCGAUUAGGUAGACGGUGGGGUAACCGGCCCACCGUGCCGAUAAUCGGUACAGGUUGUGAGAGCAAGAGCCUGGAGACGGAAUCUGAGACAAGAUUCCGGGCCCUACGGGGCGCACAGGCGCGAAACCUUUACACUGCACGACAGUGGAAUAGGGGAACUCCGAGUGCGAGGGCAUAGAGCCCUCGCUUUCCACACCGUAAAGUGGUGCGGGAACAAGUGCUGGGCAAGACCGGUGUCAGCCGCCGCGGUAAUACCGGCAGCACAAGUGAUGGCCGAUUUUA
rnacentral:rRNA from 1 species